rnacentral:rRNA from 1 species
GCACAAGCGGUGGAUGAUGUGGUUUAAUUCGAUGCAACGCGAAAAACCUUACCCACCUUUGACAUGUACGGAAUUUGCCAGAGAUGGCUUAGUGCUCGAAAGAGAGCCGUAACACAGGUGCUGCAUGGCUGUCGUCAGCUCGUGUCGUGAGAUGUUGGGUUAAGUCCCGCAACGAGCGCAACCCUUGUCAUUAGUUGCUACGAAAGGGCACUCUAAUGAGACUGCCGGUGACAAACCGGAGGAAGGUGGGGAUGACGUCAAGUCCUCAUGGCCCUUAUAGGUGGGGCUACACACGUCAUACAAUGGCCGGUACAAAGGGUCGCAAACCCGCGAGGGGGAGCCAAUCCAUCAAAGCCGGUCGUAGUCCGGAUCGCAGUCUGCAACUCGACUGCGUGAAGUCGGAAUCGCUAGUAAUCGUGGAUCAGCAUGUCACGGUGAAUACGUUCCCGGGCUUGUACACACCG